GGAGUUUGGGCCGUGUCUCAGUCCCAAUGUGGCCGGUCACCCUCUCAGGUCGGCUACUGAUCGUCGCCUUGGUGAGCCAUUACCUCACCAACUAGCUAAUCAGACGCGGGUCCAUCUUGUACCGAAAAUACUUUUCACACUCCUUCAUGCGAAGCUGUGCGCUUAUGCGGUAUUAGCAGUCGUUUCCAACUGUUGUCCCCCUGUACAAGGUAGGUUACCCACGCGUUACUCACCCGUCCGCCACUCAGUCAGUAAAUCGUCACCCCGAAGGGAUCGUAAUAAACUGCUUCGUUCGACUUGCAUGUGUUAAGCACGCCGCCAGCGUUCAUC
rnacentral:rRNA from 1 species